GACGAACGCUGGCGGCGUGCUUAACACAUGCAAGUCGAACGGAAAGGCCCUGCUUUUGUUGCUUUCUCGUGUGCCGAACGCGUGUGUAUCACAUGUGUAACCUCCCCUUGUCUUUCUGAUAACUUCACGGAACUCGGGCUAAUACCCCGUAUAAUCUCCUGCUGCAUGUUGUGGGUUGGUAAGUUUCGGCUGUUCGGGAUGUACUCGCUGCUUAUCCGCUUGUUUGUGUGGUAGUUGCUUACCAAGGCUUCGACGGGUAGCCGGCCUGAGAGGGUGACCGGCGACAUGAGGACUAAGAUACGGCCCAGACUGCUAUGGGAGGCAGUAGUGGGGAGUAUGGCACAAUGGGGGGGAGCCAGAUGUAGCAGCGUCGGGUGCGGGAUAACGGGCUUCGGGGUGAAAACAGAUGUCGACGGUGACGAAGAGGGAGUGACGGUAAUGGGUAAAGAAGCAACGGCUAACUACGUG
rnacentral:rRNA from 1 species